rnacentral:rRNA from 1 species
CUCCUACGGGAGGCAGCAGUGGGGAAUAUUGCACAAUGGAGGGAACUCUGAUGCAGCGACGCCGCGUGAGUGAAGAAGUAAUUCGUUAUGUAAGCGCUAUCAGCAGGGAAGAAAAUGACGGUACCUGACUAAGAAGCCCCGGCUAACUACGUGCCAGCAGCCGCGGUAAUACGUAGGGGGCAAGCGUUAUCCGGAUUUACUGGGUGUAAAGGGAGCGUAGACGGAGGAGCAAGUCUGAUGUGAAAAUCCGGGGCCCAACCC